CACACCGGCUGCACCGGUAAAAAAAGUAAACAAGAAGGUGAAUAAUGGCGAUUAAGCUGCUGGGAUUCCCGAGGCUGAAGCUAACAAAAGCCAGCGGCAUAAGGGAUUAUAAACUUCCGGAAUGUACAUCUUUGGCCAACCAGGAGAACUCAACGUUGAAAGAAAGCUGGUUUACCAUCAACAAAUUUCUCAGCAGUCCCGAAAAUUCCAGAUGGUAGCGUUCCAAAAACAUCUGUACCGGAUUGGAUGUCCACGAACGAAGAAUUUAUGAUAUCUAAAUAUGAUGAAAAACAACCUCAAACGUAAGUAAUAAAAUGAAAUGAAAUUUAA